UGUGUAGGCGGUUGUUUAAGUUUGGUGUGAAAUCUCCCGGCUCAACUGGGAGGGUGCGCCGAAUACUGAAUGACUAGAGUGCGGGAGAGGAGAGUGGAAUUCCUGGUGUAGCGGUGAAAUGCGUAGAUAUCAGGAGGAACACCGGUGGUGUAGACGGCUCUCUGGACCGUAACUGACGCUGAGACACGAAAGCGUGGGUAGCAAACAGGAUUAGAUACCCUGGUAGUCCACGCCCUAAACGAUGCAUAUUUGGUGUGGGUCAUUCAGUUGAUCCGUGCCGGAGCUAACGCGUUAAAUAUGCCGCCUGGGGAGUACAGUCGCAAGGCUGAA
rnacentral:rRNA from 1 species